UACGGAGGGUGCAAGCGUUAUCCGGAUUUACUGGGUUUAAAGGGGGCGUAGGUGGGUAGGUAAGUCAGUGGUGAAAUCUUCGAGCUUAACUCGGAAACUGCCAUUGAUACUAUUUAUCUUGAAUACUCUGGAGGUAAGCGGAAUAUGUCAUGUAGCGGUGAAAUACUUAGAUAUGACAUAGAACACCAAUUGCGAAAGCAGCUUACUACAUAGGUAUUGACACUGAGGCACGAAAGCGUGGGGAUCAAACAGG
rnacentral:rRNA from 1 species